UACGGAGGGGGCUAGCGUUGUUCGGAAUUACUGGGCGUAAAGCGCACGUAGGCGGCUUUGUAAGUUAGAGGUGAAAGCCCGGGGCUCAACUCCGGAAUUGCCUUUAAGACUGCAUCGCUAGAAUUGUGGAGAGGUAAGUGGAAUUCCGAGUGUAGAGGUGAAAUUCGUAGAUAUUCGGAAGAACACCAGUGGCGAAGGCGACUUACUGGACACAUAUUGACGCUGAGGUGCGAAGCGUCGGGAUGG
rnacentral:rRNA from 1 species